CACCAUUAAAGCACUGAAUCCAUUUCCUUCUUUCAUCUCUCUGACCACCCACAUCAAACAUACUGACACACAGGGAGAAAGAAAUAAGAAAUGCUUCUGUAUGACAACUUAACAAAUAAUAUUUAUAUAAAUGUAGUAACUGAAUCCAGUUAUGAAUCAUUCAAUCAAUGUUAGAUAUAUAGUGAGGUCCCAAUGUCUGAGAAUACUAGUGCAAAUGCCUUUUUUUCCCCUUGCCACUGUUGCCUUUAAGCUUGCUUAGUUGUAGACGCCUAAUUUUUGGCAAUACUGUAGACUUGAUUCCACAGACACUAUUUGAAGUGAACUGAAUUAAACUGGAUGAUGACAUCACCGAAUCAAUUAACUGACUUCAGCUAAAAA